rnacentral:rRNA from 1 species
AUUGAACGCUGGCGGCAGGCCUAACACAUGCAAGUCGAGCGGAUGAAGUGAGCUUGCUCCUGGAUUCAGCGGCGGACGGGUGAGUAAUGCCUAGGAAUCUGCCUGGUAGUGGGGGAUAACGUCCGGAAACGGGCGCUAAUACCGCAUACGUCCUGAGGGAGAAAGUGGGGGAUCUUCGGACCUCACGCUAUCAGAUGAGCCUAGGUCGGAUUAGCUAGUUGGUGGGGUAAAGGCCUACCAAGGCGACGAUCCGUAACUGGUCUGAGAGGAUGAUCAGUCACACUGGAACUGAGACACGGUCCAGACUCCUACGGGAGGCAGCAGUGGGGAAUAUUGGACAAUGGGCGAAAGCCUGAUCCAGCCAUGCCGCGUGUGUGAAGAAGGUCUUCGGAUUGUAAAGCACUUUAAGUUGGGAGGAAGGGCAGUAAGUUAAUACCUUGCUGUUUUGACGGUACCAACAGAAUAAGCACCGGCUAACUUCGUG